AACGAACGCUGGCGGCAGGCUUAACACAUGCAAGUCGAACGCCCCGCAAGGGGAGUGGCAGACGGGUGAGUAACGCGUGGGAAUCUACCUUUUGCUACGGGAUAGCUCCGGGAAACUGGAAUUAAUACCGUAUGUGCCCUUCGGGAGAAAGAUUUAUCGGCAAAGGAUGAGCCCGCGUUGGAUUAGCUAGUUGGUGGGGUAAAGGCCUACCAAGGCGACGAUCCAUAGCUGGUCUAAGAGGAUGAUCAGCCACAUUGGGACUGAGACACGGCCCAAACUCCUACGGGAGGCAGCAGUGGGGAAUAUUGGACAAUGGGCGCAAGCCUGAUCCAGCCAUGCCGCGUGAGUGAUGAAGGCCCUAGGGUUGUAAAGCUCUUUCAGUGGGGACGAUAAUGACGGUACCCACAGAAGAAGCCCCGGCUAACUUCGUGCCAGCAGCCGCAGUAA
rnacentral:rRNA from 1 species